AAGUGCUUGCCUUAAAACACCUGAAUACUCCAAUCUGAACCAAUGGACUACUUCAGUUGAGAUGUUUGGCUGUUUUCUGCCUGGGGGGAUGAAGGAGCUCUUGCCCACCCACAGCCUACUCUCAGGUGGAACAAAGUGAGAAACAAGAAAAACACUGAUGUCAUGCAAGCACUGUUCAGUCACAGAUAGAAUGUUGUUCUGUUGUCAACACCAUUUCAGUCACACAUUCAAAACACUGUAUGGGCUGCUGAGAAGAAAAUUAACUCCUCCCGAGCCAGACCCAGGAUAGUGUGCACCCUUAAAUAAAGUUGCUCUUGACAGAAAGACAUGCCCUUGCAAGUUACCUAUGGCAGCAGAUUCCUGACCUCGUGGAGACACAACAUCAGCAGAAGUCUACCCAGUCGAUUUACUGCAGAAAGGCUCAUCAUCAUCAUAAAAUCUUCAAGCCAAGAUUUGUGCUUUUUACUUUCUUUAAUAAAGAACCAAGCAUAUAAAUUUUUCAGAAUAAAUAAUAAUGUCAAUAACUGCAGAAGACUUUCAUGAACAAAUCCUGCCUUUCUAUUUUUAGAAGUGUCAUAGCUGGCACAAUGUUAUAGGUCAUAAAGUUUUCAUUGAACAUGCUAAUCUGAGCAGACCAUGUUCAGAAGGAAUAGAUUGUCUUUAAAUAUUGUUCUCCACUUUGUCUAAUAUUGUCUUUACCAUACAUUAAGCAAGCAUUCUC